rnacentral:rRNA from 1 species
UACAGAGGGGGCAAGCGUUGUUCGGAAUUACUGGGCGUAAAGGGCGCGUAGGCGGCCCGCUAAGUCGAACGUGAAAUCCCCGAGCUCAACUCGGGAACUGCGUCCGAUACUGGCGGGCUUGAAUCCGGGAGAGGGAUGCGGAAUUCCAGGUGUAGCGGUGAAAUGCGUAGAUAUCAGGAAGAACACCCGUGGCUAAGGCGGCUCUCUAGUACGGUACUGACGCUGAGACGCGAAAGCGUGGGGAGCGAACAGG